rnacentral:tRNA from 1 species
UCUAGUGUAGUCCAGAGUAAGACGUAGGGUUUAAGCCCCUGAGGUGCGAUUGUCUCUAGAA